rnacentral:rRNA from 1 species
UUGGAAGAAAGUUUGAUCCUGGCUCAGAUUGAACGCUGGCGGCAGGCCUAACACAUGCAAGUCGAGCGGUAACAGAAGAAAGCUUGCUUUCUUGCUGACGAGCGGCGGACGGGUGAGUAAUGUAUGGGGAUCUGCCCGAUAGAGGGGGAUAACUACUGGAAACGGUGGCUAAUACCGCAUGACGUCUACGGACCAAAGCAGGGGCUCUUCGGACCUUGCGCUAUCGGAUGAACCCAUAUGGGAUUAGCUAGUAGGUGAGGUAAUGGCUCACCUAGGCGACGAUCUCUAGCUGGUCUGAGAGGAUGAUCAGCCACACUGGGACUGAGACACGGCCCAGACUCCUACGGGAGGCAGCAGUGGGGAAUAUUGCACAAUGGGCGCAAGCCUGAUGCAGCCAUGCCGCGUGUAUGAAGAAGGCCUUAGGGUUGUAAAGUACUUUCAGCGGGGAGGAAGGUGAUAAGAGUUAAUACCUCUUAUCAAU